GGCGGCGUGCCUAAUACAUGCAAGUCGAACGAACUCUGGUAUUGAUUGGUGCUUGCAUCAUGAUUUACAUUUGAGUGAGUGGCGAACUGGUGAGUAACACGUGGGAAACCUGCCCAGAAGCGGGGGAUAACACCUGGAAACAGAUGCUAAUACCGCAUAACAACUUGGACCGCAUGGUCCGAGUUUGAAAGAUGGCUUCGGCUAUCACUUUUGGAUGGUCCCGCGGCGUAUUAGCUAGAUGGUGGGGUAACGGCUCACCAUGGCAAUGAUACGUAGCCGACCUGAGAGGGUAAUCGGCCACAUUGGGACUGAGACACGGCCCAAACUCCUACGGGAGGCAGCAGUAGGGAAUCUUCCACAAUGGACGAAAGUCUGAUGGAGCAACGCCGCGUGAGUGAAGAAGGGUUUCGGCUCGUAAAACUCUGUUGUUAAAGAAGAACAUAUCUGAGAGUAACUGUUCAGGUAUUGACGGUAUUUAACCAGAAAGCCACGGCUAACUACGUGCCAGCAGCCGCGGUAAUACGUAGGUGGCAAGCGUUGUCCGGAUUUAUUGGGCGUAAAGCGAGCGCAGGCGGUUUUUUAAGUCUGAUGUGAAAGCCUUCGGCUCAACCGAAGAAGUGCAUCGGAAACUGGGAAACUUGAGUGCAGAAGAGGACAGUGGAACUCCAUGUGUAGCGGUGAAAUGCGUAGAUAUAUGGAAGAACACCAGUGGCGAAGGCGGCUGUCUGGUCUGUAACUGACGCUGAGGCUCGAAAGUAUGGGUAGCAAACAGGAUUAGAUACCCUGGUAGUCCAUACCGUAAACGAUGAAUGCUAAGUGUUGGAGGGUUUCCGCCCUUCAGUGCUGCAGCUAACGCAUUAAGCAUUCCGCCUGGGGAGUACGGCCGCAAGGCUGAAACUCAAAGGAAUUGACGGGGGCCCGCACAAGCGGUGGAGCAUGUGGUUUAAUUCGAAGCUACGCGAAGAACCUUACCAGGUCUUGACAUACUAUGCAAAUCUAAGAGAUUAGACGUUCCCUUCGGGGACAUGGAUACAGGUGGUGCAUGGUUGUCGUCAGCUCGUGUCGUGAGAUGUUGGGUUAAGUCCCGCAACGAGCGCAACCCUUAUUAUCAGUUGCCAGCAUUAAGUUGGGCACUCUGGUGAGACUGCCGGUGACAAACCGGAGGAAGGUGGGGAUGACGUCAAAUCAUCAUGCCCCUUAUGACCUGGGCUACACACGUGCUACAAUGGAUGGUACAACGAGUUGCGAACUCGCGAGAGUAAGCUAAUCUCUUAAAGCCAUUCUCAGUUCGGAUUGUAGGCUGCAACUCGCCUACAUGAAGUCGGAAUCGCUAGUAAUCGCGGAUCAGCAUGCCGCGGUGAAUACGUUCCCGGGCCUUGUACACACCGCCCGUCACACCAUGAGAGUUUGUAACACCCAAAGUCGGUGGGGUAACCUUUUAGGAACCAGCCGCCUAAGGUGGGAC
rnacentral:rRNA from 1 species